rnacentral:rRNA from 1 species
UACGUAGGGAGCAAGCGUUGUCCGGAAUCAUUGGGCGUAAAGCGCGCGUAGGUGGCCCUGUAAGUCCGUUGUGAAAGUCAAAGGCUCAACCUUUGAAAGCCGAUGGAUACUGCAGGGCUAGAGUACGGAAGAGGCGAGUGGAAUUCCAGGUGUAGCGGUGAAAUGCGUAGAUAUCUGGAGGAAUACCGGUGGCGAAGGCGGCAUCCUGGACCGGCAUUGACGCUGAGGAGCGAAAGCUAGGGGAGCAAACGGG